CAGCUGUAGGUGUGCAUCUUGGAGACUGUGGUUGCAUAACUGCUGAAGGGGAUGGCAGUGAGGAAGUUUUGUCAAAAGAAAGUGAUUCGGAAGAAAGCGAAUGUGAAGAAGAAAUCACUAUUGAAGUAGAUUUGAGUCAGGAGAUCUACACUCCCCCAACGCAAGAUAUAGGUCCAUACAAGAAAAGGUAUGAUUAAAAACAGAAAUCUAGAAUACCAUAUUUUGUUUAUUGUCAUAUUUUAAUUUAGUUCAUUGUGAAGGAAACGUGCACC
rnacentral:lncRNA from 1 species